rnacentral:rRNA from 1 species
CAGUAACACGUGGACAACCUACCCUCCGGACGGGUAUAAACCCGGGAAACUGGGUAUAAUCCCCGAUAGAUCUCGGUCGCUGGAAAGCCCCGAGAUCGAAAGCUCCGGCGCCAGAGGAUGGGUCUGCGGCCUAUCAGGUAGUAGUGGGUGUAGCGUACCUACUAGCCUACGACGGGUACGGGUUGUGAGAGCAAGAGCCCGGAGAUGGAUUCUGAGACACGAAUCCAGGCCCUACGGGGUGCAGCAGGCGCGAAAACUUUACAAUGCCGGCAACGGCGAUAAGGGGACCUCGAGUGCCAGGUUACAAAUCUGGCUGUCGUGAUGCCUAAAAGCAUUGCAUAGCAAGGGCCGGG